AACGAACGCUGGCGGCAUGCCUAACACAUGCAAGUCGAACGAGACCUUCGGGUCUAGUGGCGCACGGGUGCGUAACGCGUGGGAACCUGCCCUUAGGUUCGGAAUAACUCCCCGAAAGGGGUGCUAAUACCGGAUAAUGUCUUCGGACCAAAGAUUUAUCGCCUUUGGAUGGGCCCGCGUUGGAUUAGCUAGUUGGUAGGGUAAAAGCCUACCAAGGCGACGAUCCAUAGCUGGUCUGAGAGGAUGAUCAGCCACACUGGGACUGAGACACGGCCCAGACUCCUACGGGAGGCAGCAGUGGGGAAUAUUGGACAAUGGGCGAAAGCCUGAUCCAGCAAUGCCGCGUGAGUGAUGAAGGCCUUAGGGUUGUAAAGCUCUUUUACCCGGGAUGAUUAUGACAGUACCGGGAGAAUAAGCUCCGGCUAACUCCGUG
rnacentral:rRNA from 1 species